rnacentral:rRNA from 1 species
GACAGAGGGUGCAAACGUUGUUCGGAGUUACUGGGCGUAAAGCGUGUGUAGGCGGCCAUACAAGUCGGAUGUGAAAGCCCUGGGCUCAACCCAGGAAGUGCACCCGAAACUGUGUGGCUUGAGUACUGGAGAGGUUGGUGGAAUUCUCGGUGUAGAGGUGAAAUUCGUAGAUAUCGAGAGGAACACCGGUGGCGAAGGCGGCCAACUGGACAGAUACUGACGCUGAGACACGAAAGCGUGGGGAGCAAACAGG